ACUCCUACGGGAGGCAGCAGUGGGGAAUAUUGCACAAUGGGCGCAAGCCUGAUGCAGCCAUGCCGCGUGUAUGAAGAAGGCCUUCGGGUUGUAAAGUACUUUCAGUCAGUGAGGAAGGUGGAUGUCAGUUAAUAGCGUAUUCAUUUGAUCGUUAGCUGCAGAAGAAGCACCGGCUAACUCCGUGCCAGCAGCCGCGGUAAUACGGAGGGUGCGAGCGUUAAUCGGAAUUACUGGGCGUAAAGCGCAUGCAGGUGGUUUGUUAAGUCAGAUGUG
rnacentral:rRNA from 1 species